UUUUCUAGCUAACUUCGUUUAUUCCGGCAUUGAUUAGGAAAGCACUAGCGAAAUUAUUCUGUGAGAUCUAAUUGUUCUUAUACUUUAUUUUAUGCUUGCAUCUGCGAUUCUCCAUAUUUAAUGAUAUUAAUUGUUUUAAUCCAUUAGAUAGUUGCAAAUAUUUAUUGGGUUAGAAUUAAUUAUAUAGCCAAUUGAACCGGCCAUCCGUAAUCGUGGUUUAGGUUUGAUUAGUGGUAAAUUGACACAUCAGGGUCAAGGGAAAAACAGUCUUAAUUCAAUAAUCCUGCGUCAGAGUUUAUUGGUUUUGAAUCGGGUUUCUCUAGAUAUUAAUGCUAUCGGCUCAUUAAAUCUAUAGAGCGUCUCUUACGGUUGUCAGUCGAUUAGGGUAGUAAUUAGUGAAGCGUCUUCCUGGUUACCGAAUAAUUAAGGAGAAAUAAGAUCACGUCAGAAGCGUCUUCGGUGGUUAUAACUGGUUUGUUUGCAUGAUUUAAAGUUAUUUUUGCAUCGAUGAUCGGAAUAAUUAAGCUAGGGUGGACUUAAUUGAUUGCUGGAAUUCUUUUAUUAAUUGUUGGAAUUUUUAUUCAUCUUUUAGCUAUUGGAAAAAUUGGUUUAUUUGGGUUUUAUUUAUUUUAUUUCCAUAUUUUCUUCUCAAAAUUUCGUGGUUACUUUGCAGACUUUAAUUAGAGAAAUUCUCGCCAGUCCCUUGGGAGACGAUUUUGCUUACUGCUGUCUGCGCAGUGUGGGCAUACCGGCUGACUGCCGGAUAUUUUUGGUGUAAAACGACGCACCAAAUUUUGGCGCCGUUGCCGGGGAUUGGUUUUAAGCAGGAUUUUACUGAUUUCAGUCUGUCUUUUAUUUUUAGUUAUUUUAUUUUUAGUUUAUGCCCCGUUCUUCUCGUACAGGCGUAUUAGUUUUUGAUCCAGAAAUCGAGAAGACUGCACGAAAGUUGAAGAAGC
rnacentral:lncRNA from 1 species